UCCUUUGAAUGAUACAGAUUCAGCUUUGAUAUAUAAUAAUACAAGAAAUGUUAUGUUUACUACUGUAAUUGAUUAUACAGAAGCAGAUGCAGAUUCAAAGGUUGUCGGCCCCUUCUUCCUCUUCAUGCGCUAUAUCUGGGCAAUUUUCCAAUUGCUUGUAUAACAGAUAAUAUAGUUUGUAUCUGCGAUAUCUGCCACCGAUGGAGGAUAUUCACAUUCUCACCGAAAACAAGACGAUCAAAGUAAUUCCUGGAUCUGGCAUACAGAACGAAG